CCUCUGUUCCUUGAUUUAUAGGUUAUUUCGUGCUUCCUCUCUUCCACACGAUCAAGAUCUUCAAAGUCCCCCAGAGCCUCAGAAAACUGAGGGCAGCCCGUGUCAAGG
rnacentral:lncRNA from 1 species